GUCAGUGUGGUCCUCCCGCCGGUACCCAGUUAUGGACACGCAAGCUCACAGCUGAUAACCAGAGAGGUUAAACUCUUCGUCUUCUACACGCAUGGAGAUGCGCUUUCUGUGACCAGACUCCCAAUCGGCACUGAGCAGAAAACGAAGCACGACUGGUUUUGCGACCAAGACAGAUGGUCCUACUCUCAAAGGUCCAGCUGUGCUCCUACCUCUUCCUGGAAGCCCUCCUUGGUGUGUUGAAGUCGUGGACUCCCAGAGCCCCAUUACUUCGACUGAUUAUCCUGACACCACACCAGAAGAGACCCCGUAACUCCUUAGCC
rnacentral:lncRNA from 1 species